CUACGGGAGGCAGCAGUAGGGAAUCUUCGGCAAUGGGGGCAACCCUGACCGAGCAACGCCGCGUGAGUGAAGAAGGUUUUCGGAUCGUAAAGCUCUGUUGUAAGAGAAGAACGUGUGUGAGAGUGGAAAGUUCACACAGUGACGGUAUCUUACCAGAAAGGGACGGCUAACUACGUGCCAGCAGCCGCGGUAAU
rnacentral:rRNA from 1 species